GGGGUGGUGGCCUAGUGGUUAGAGAGCAGGGCAUUUGUGUCCUGGAGAGGCCACAAGGACCUGGGUUCGAAUCCUACAGACUACCACUCUG